rnacentral:rRNA from 1 species
UAGGGAAUCUUCGGCAAUGGGGGGAACCCUGACCGAGCAACGCCGCGUGAGUGAAGAAGGUUUUCGGAUCUUAAAGCUCUGUUGUUAAGGAAGAACGAGUGUGAGAAUGGAAAGUUCAUACUGUGACGGUACUUAACCAGAAAGGGACGGCUAACUACGUGCCAGCAGCCGCGGUAAUACGUAGGUCCCGAGCGUUGUCCGGAUUUAUUGGGCGUAAAGCGAGCGCAGGCGGUUAGAUAAGUCUGAAGUUAAAGGCAGUGGCUCAACCAUUGUAGGCUUUGGAAACUGUUUAACUUGAGUGCAGAAGGGGAGAGUGGAAUUCCAUGUGUAGCGGUGAAAUGCGUAGAUAUAUGGGGGAACACCGGUGGCGAAAGCGGCUCUCUGGUCUGUAACUGACGCUGAGGCUCGAAAGCGUGGGUAGCAAACAGG